rnacentral:lncRNA from 1 species
UCCAAAGUCAGCAGGAGGAAGUAGAAAUGAGACAGAGGCCUCUGUCUCCUAAUCUUUUCCAUAGGCUACUGUUUUCUUUCUUUUCUCAUGAGGAAAAAUGAUAAAAGCAAAAUAAACAAAUUAGCUACCACUUAUGAAAAUCCCCAGGAAAUUCCUUUUCCAGAGUUCUCACUUACUAAUUUGGCUAACAUUACCAAUGGUAACAGACCCCACGUAUCCGCCACAAUUGCUGUGAGUUGCAGAGGAAAAAGACUGGGAGGAAAUCUUCACUUUUCUUCUGCAACAGCAACCAACAGAAAUGAAAGAGCCAGGGGAUUUUGCAAAAUAUCAACUCCUGAGAACUAAGAAUGAGAGCCUUUCCUGCCAAGCCCAUUCUGUGCCAGUCAUCAUAAAAUACUAUGACCCUUCCUUCCAGAAGAACAAUGCGCUGUGAUCUUUGGCUACUCAAGCUUUACAUCAUCCAUAUUACCCUGCAGCAGGAACAGAUUGAUGGGGAUUCUAUAGCACAUCCUUGAAUUGUGUUUAUCCAAUCCACAUUUCUCUUCUGCUGGACAUUCAGAGGACUGUUUCUCACUAAUAUCAGUUGGAUACCCUCCUUCUCCUUCCUUUGGACAUCAGAACUCCAGGUUCUCCAGUCUUUGGACUCCAGCAUUUGCACAAACACCUGAAGGUUCUCAGGCCUUCCGCCUUGGAAUUGGAGCUACACCACUGGCUUCCCUGGCUCUCCAGCUUGCUGAGGGCAUAUUGUAUAACUCCUCAGCUUACCUAAUUGCAUGAACCCCUAAUAAGUUCUAUCUAGUGCCCUAUUGGUUAUGUCUUUCUGGAGAACCCUAAUACAAAUAUCAUACUUAAAUUUCACUGUUCAUUUCAAUAAAUAUUUAUUGAGCACAUUUCUGUGUUAGAGACAGAGACAUCUGUACUUGAAUCUCUCAAGCAAAUCUCCAUCUUUAAAGAAUGUAACCUGAAUUUUUUGAUCAUUCAAAUCAAAGUAUUCUCAUAAGUAACAUUUAAUGUAACUUGUUAAUUUUCCAAUGAUUCUUACUCUCAGAAAUUGUUUGGUUGCUUCAUGAAAUUAUUACAAUGAAAUAUUUCUUCUAAAAAACUUCCUCAGCUAUUUGUCUCAGUCAGCUAGGGCUGAUAUACCAAAAUACCAUAGACUGGGUGGCUUAAACAAUAGACAUUUAUUUCUCAUAAUUCUGGAGGCAACAUGCCCAAGAUCAGGGUGCCAGUAUGGCCAGGUUCUUAUUGAGGGCUCUCUUCCUCACUUGCUGAUGGUCACCUUUCUGCUGUAUCCUCACAUAGUGGAGAGUGAAAGUUCUGAUGUUUCUCCCUCUUCUUAUAAGGACUGAUGCCAUCAUGGAGGCUUUACCCUUAUGACCACAUCUAAACCUAAUUCCUUUUCAAGAGCCCCACCUCCUAAUACCAUGACACUGGGGAUUAGGGCUUCAACAUAUGGACUUUGGUGGACCACCAACUUCAGUCCCUAACACCACUGCUAUAAGAAUGAAUGUUUGUGUCUCCCCAAAUUCAUAUUUUGCAAUCUAAUCCUUAAUGGUAUAAUAUGAGAAGGUGGGGCCAUUGGGAGAUGAUUAAGUCAUGAAGGCUCUGCCCACAUGAAUGGCAUUAAUGCCCUUAUAAAAGAAACCCCAGAGAGCUAGCUGGCCUUGUCUGUCAUGUAAGCAUGCAGCAAGAAGGUGCCAUGAGCAAGAGAGCAAGCCUUCACCAGACACCAAAUCUGCCAGCAGCUUGAUUG